rnacentral:tRNA from 1 species
CGCACCGGGAAGGUCGGCACGCACGCGGUCGUCGCCCGUGUAGACCUCGGCGUCGCCGACGACGCCCCCCAGUUCGACGCCGGGCCGGGCGA